ACGCCAAUAUCUCUCUUAGUACGAAAGGACCAGAGAGAAAGUGUCCAUGCUUUUAGUAAACACUUUAAUUAAAAAC
rnacentral:rRNA from 1 species